GAUGAACGCUGGCGGCGUGCUUAACACAUGCAAGUCGAACGAAGUCUUCGGACUUAGUGGCGGACGGGUGAGUAACACGUGGGAACGUGCCUUUAGGUUCGGAAUAACUCAGGGAAACUUGUGCUAAUACCGAAUGUGCCCUUCGGGGGAAAGAUUUAUCGCCUUUAGAGCGGCCCGCGUCUGAUUAGCUAGUUGGUGAGGUAAAGGCUCACCAAGGCGACGAUCAGUAGCUGGUCUGAGAGGAUGAUCAGCCACAUUGGGACUGAGACACGGCCCAAACUCCUACGGGAGGCAGCAGUGGGGAAUCUUGCGCAAUGGGCGAAAGCCUGACGCAGCCAUGCCGCGUGAAUGAUGAAGGUCUUAGGAUUGUAAAAUUCUUUCACCGGGGACGAUAAUGACGGUACCCGGAGAAGAAGCCCCGGCUAACUUCGUGCCAGCCGCCGCCGUAAGAC
rnacentral:rRNA from 1 species